rnacentral:rRNA from 1 species
AGAGCGAACGGCUGGCGGCAGGCCUAAUACAUGCAAGUCGAGCGGUCCCUUCGGGGGGCAGCGGCGGACGGGUGAGUAACGCGUGGAACGUGCCCUUUGGUACGGAACAACUGAGGGAAACUUCAGCUAAUACCGUAUGUGCCCUUCGGGGGAAAAGAUUUAUCGCUAUACGAGCGGCCGAUGUCAGAUUAGCUAGUUGGUAGGGUAAAGGCCUACCAAGGCGACGAUCUGUAGCGGGUCUGAGAGGAUGAUCCGCCACACUGGGACUGAGACACGGCCCAGACUCCUACGGGAGGCAGCAGUGGGGAAUUUUGGACAAUGGGCGAAAGCCUGAUCCAGCCAUGCCGCGUGAGUGAAGAAGGCCUUCGGGUUGUAAAGCUCUUUCGGCUGGGAAGAAAUCGCACAGGCUAAUACUCUGUGUGGAUGACGGUACCAGCACAAGAAGCACCGGCUAACUACGUG